rnacentral:rRNA from 1 species
CCGUUGUAAAGGACUCCGAAGAGCUGUGGCAAGGGGUGAAAAGCCAAUCUAACCUGGAGAUAGCUGGUCUUCUGCGAAACCCGUUUUAGCGGGUCGCCCAUUUAUUAAAAUGAAAUUCGUUACUAGACGGUACGGCACUGGAAGCCACGCGGCUUUUGCUGCAUAAUCGGGGGGCUGUCAUGGCUCUAUCGAUGGCUUCUAACCCCGGAAAUGUAUAGUAUACAAUGAUGGGCAAUCAGACGUAUCGUGAUAAGGCGAUUCGUCAAAAGGGCAACAGCCCAGAACAGGUGUGAAGGUCCCUAACAAGCUACUGAGUGAACACAAGGCAGUCCUCUCCAGUGUCUCUCCACAAAGUGGGCUUGGAAGCAGCCACCUUUUAGCGAUAGCGUAACAGCUCAGUGGUCUGAGCCUCCCUCUAAAUAGGGUAUAUUGCCUGGUGAGGGCGCCAAAAAUGUAACGGGUCUAUAGUAGUUGUCUCUCUGUUCCAGCUUUGGAUAUGGAGGGAGUGGCAGUUUCUUCACUGUCUCACCGAAACCCUGUCCUAGAUGUAAAAUUCUAGGGGUAGCAGAAUACCCAGCAAAUGGAAUGAAGCUUGCUCAUUGAGCCGGUGGACAUAGCUGGGCUAAGAAUGCUGACAUGAGUAGCCUAAAAGGAGGGUAAUUCCCUCUUCGCCGAAAGCAGAAGGGUUUCAUUUGUAAGGUCUAUACCUAGAUGAUUAAAGCAGCGGCCUCUAAGGUUCAGAGUAACAAAUUAGUUCCGAUGAGUAACUCUUCUAUAGGGCAGUAACCUUCCUUAUAAGUUUACCUUCAAGUAAUUAGAGGUAUACUUCAAAGAGUAAGGUUCGGGAAAGAGCCCUACAGAAUCAAUCUUAAAACCGUACCCUAAACCGACACAGGUCUGCAAGUAGAGCAUACUAAGGCGUAGAGAUAAUCGUCUUGAAGGAACUCGGCAAAAUGACCCCGUAACUUCGGGAGAAGGGGUGCCACUAAUAAGUGGCGGCACUAAACAGGGGGGCGCGACUGUUUACUUAAAACACCGGACUCUGCUAACACUAGCGUGGAUGUAUAGAGU